ensembl:lncRNA MIR210HG MIR210 host gene
GGGGCCGGUCGGGUCGGGCCGGGGGGCGAGAGGGUGCCAGCGGCCGCAGCUGAAGUUGGGCCGAGAGCCGGCGACGGCCCCGCGCCGGGGUCGCAGGGUACCAGUGUGCGGAGUUCCUGUUGCCAAGCUGAAGGUGGCCCUGGGCAGGCACAGUGGGGCCGCUGCGGGAGACAGCGGGUGGAUCCUCCAGCAGCCUGUCUGCUGAGCCUGCCUUCUCAAGUCUACUGUUAAAAUCAGGACCGGGUCGUGUCCGAGCCUACAGGCCCUGUCUCCGCUCCCCAGGCCUGCAGGAGUUGAGGGCUGCACCUGCUCGCUGGAGAGGGAGAGGCAGAUUUAGUGGACGCCUGGCAUGGACUCGGACUGGCCUUUGGAAGCUCCCUGCCCUGACGGGGUUGCCUGUCACCACUGCGAAGUGAGGCUUGGCAGGACCUGCACCUGAGAAAGGCUGUGUGUGGUCUUGGGGUCCACACCUGCAGAGCUAACUUACUGCCAGACGGCGACUUACUGUGGGCCACCCUCAGUGAACCGGGGUGUCCUCAGCUGGCCCUACAGAGCACUUCUGUGCUGGGGAUGAGUAGGAACUCUGGGCGAGGAGGGUCCCAGCGCCGCCCCUCGAUACAGCCUGGCUCUGCCCUCUGCCCGUACUUACACCAGGUGGGAUCCCUGCCCUGCAUUGCCUGGGGAUUGGCUGGGCUUGGGCCCGCCCUGCUGUGGAACUGGAUGUUUUCAGGGAGCCCAGCCUUUCCUCAUGUCAACACAGUUCACAAUAUAGUUUUCAAAGUACAGUUUAAAACUCAAAAGUAAACUUUUCAGCAACUCAAA